GAAACGACGCUAAGACUGGAUAGGAAAAGUAAAGGCAUCUUUACUUUUUAAAAGACCUUCUUUGAAGGUAUGCUUAAGGAGGGGCUUGCGACACAUUAGUUAGUUGGCAGGGUAAAGGCCUACCAAGACUAUGAUGUGUAGCUGGACUGAGAGGUUGAACAGCCACAUUGGGACUGAGACACGGCCCAAACUCCUACGGGAGGCAGCAGUAGGGAAUUUUCGGCAAUGGAGGAAACUCUGACCGAGCAACGCCGCGUGAACGAUGAAGUACCUCGGUAUGUAAAGUUCUUUUAUUAAGGAAGAAAAAAGAGUGGAAAAACUCCCUUGACGGUACUUAAUGAAUAAGCCCCGGCUAAUUAUGUGCCAGCAGCCGCGGUAAUACAUAAGGGGCGAGCGUUAUCCGGAAUUAUUGGGCGUAGAGGGUGCGUAGGCGGUUUAAUAAGUCUAUAGUUUAAUUUCAGUGCUUAACGCUGUUGUGCUAUAGAAACUGUUUUACUAGAGUGAGUUAGAGGCAAGCGGAAUUCCAUGUGUAGCGGUAAAAUGCGUAAAUAUAUGGAGGAACACCAGAGGCGUAGGCGGCUUGCUGGGACUUUACUGACGCUGAGGCACGAAAGCGUGGGGAGCAAACAGGAUUAGAUACCCUGGUAGUCCACGCCGUAAACGAUGAGUACUAAGUGUCGGGUAAAACCGGUACUGAAGUUAACACAUUAAGUACUCCGCCUGAGUAGUACGUACGCAAGUAUGAAACUUAAAGGAAUUGACGGGACUCCGCACAAGCGGUGGAUCAUGUUGUUUAAUUCGAAGAUACACGAAAAACCUUACCAGGUCUUGACAUUUUCUUGCGAAGUUAUAGAAAUAUAAUGGAGGUUAUCAGGAAAACAGGUGGGGCAUGGUUGUCGUCAGCUCGUGUCGUGAGAUGUUAGGUUAAGUCCUAAAACGAGCGCAACCCUUGUCGUUAAUUGCCAGCAUGUAAUGAUGGGGACUUUAACGAGACUGCCAAUGAAAAAUUGGAGGAAGGUGGGGAUUACGUCAAAUCAUCAUGCCCCUUAUGAUCUGGGCUACAAACGUGAUACAAUGGUUGAUACAAAGAGUAGCUGAAACGCGAGUUCUUAGCCAAUCUCACAAAAUCAAUCUCAGUUCGGAUUGAAGUCUGCAACUCGACUUCAUGAAGUUGGAAUCGCUAGUAAUCGCGAAUCAGCAUGUCGCGGUGAAUACGUUGACGGGGUUUGUACACACCGCCCGUCA
rnacentral:rRNA from 1 species